UACGUAGGGGGCAAGCGUUGUCCGGAAUCAUUGGGCGUAAAGCGCGUGUAGGCGGUUCGGUAAGUCUGCUGUGAAAGUCCAGGGCUCAACCCUGGGAUGCCGGUGGAUACUGUCGGACUAGAGUACGGAAGAGGCGAGUGGAAUUCCCGGUGUAGCGGUGAAAUGCGCAGAUAUCGGGAGGAACACCGGUGGCGAAGGCGGUUCUCUGGGCCUUACCUGACGCUGAGGAGCGAAAGCGUGGGGAGCGAACAGG
rnacentral:rRNA from 1 species